rnacentral:rRNA from 1 species
AAUAGAUACCCCGGUAGUCCACGCCGUAAACGUUGGGCGCUAGAUGUGGGGACCAUUCCACGGUUUCCGCGUCGUAGCUAACGCAUUAAGCGCCCCGCCUGGGGAGUACGGCCGCAAGGCUAAAACUCAAAGGAAUUGACGGGGGCCCGCACAAGCGGCGGAGCAUGCGGAUUAAUUCGAUGCAACGCGAAGAACCUUACCAAGGCUUGACAUAUGCGAGAACGCUCUAGAAAUAGAGAACUCUUUGGACACUCGUAUACAGGUGGUGCAUGGUUGUCGUCAGCUCGUGUCGUGAGAUGUUGGGUUAAGUCCCGCAACGAGCGCAACCCUCGUCGCAUGUUGCCAGCACGUAAUGGUGGGAACUCAUGUGAGACUGCCGGGGUCAACUCGGAGGAAGGUGGGGAUGACGUCAAAUCAUCAUGCCCCUUAUGUCUUAGGCUUCACGCAUGCUACAAUGGCCGGUACAAAGGGCUGCGAAACCGCAAGGUGAGCGAAUCCCAAAAAGCCGGUCUCAGUUCGGA